AGGACUAUAGUUAAAAAUAACACUUGAAUUGCAUACAAGAAGUAUUGACAUGAACUAAUCAAUUAGUCUUA
rnacentral:tRNA from 1 species